CCACUGGUGGUUCAGUGGUAGAACUCUUGCCUGCCACAUAGGAGUCCGGGGUUCUAGUCCCAGCCAAUGCA
rnacentral:tRNA from 1 species